UCGCCUGUUUUUCCAAAAACAUCGCCUCUCGAUUCCAUGAGAGGUCCAGCCUGCCCAGUGACCCAUGUUCAACGGCCGCGGUAUCCUAACCGUGCGAAGGUAGCGUAAUCACUUGUCUUUUAAAUAAAGACUAGUAUGAAAGGCACCACGAGGGUCUGACUGUCUCCUGUUUUCUAUCAGUGAAACUAAUCUCCCCGUGAAGAAGCGGGGAUUAUCAUAUAAGACGAGAAGACCCUAUGGAGCUUCAAACAACAUAAUCACCACCCUUAACAUUGCCAAAAAGCUUAACCCUAACUCAUGCCUGAUUAUAAGUUUUGGGUUGGGGAGACCACGGAGAAAACACACCCUCCACGCUGGACACGAACUUUCACCCUAAAUAAUAAGAUACAUCUUUUUAGAUCAACAAAUUGACACUCAUUGACCCAACACACUUGAUCAACGAACCAAGUUACCCUAGGGAUAACAGCGCAAUCCGCUUUAAGAGCUCAUAUCGACAAGCGGGUUUACGACCUCGAUGUUGGAUCAGGGUCUCCUAGUGGCGCAGCCGCUACUAAAGGUUCGUUUGUUCAACGAUUAAUACCCUACGUGAUCUGA
rnacentral:rRNA from 1 species